rnacentral:rRNA from 1 species
AAACAUCGCCUCUUGCAAAACGAACGAAUAAGAGGUCCCGCCUGCCCUGUGACUAUAUGUUUAACGGCCGCGGUAUUUUGACCGUGCGAAGGUAGCGCAAUCACUUGUCUUUUAAAUGGAGACCUGUAUGAAAGGCAUCACGAGGGCUUAGCUGUCUCCCCUUUAAAGUCAAUGAAAUUGAUCUCCCCGUGCAGAAGCGGGGAUAUGCUCGUAAGACGAGAAGACCCUAUGGAGCUUAAGAUAAAAGGCGAGUCAUGUCAAACACCCCUUCAAAGGAAGUUGAACGAAAUGAUACCCGCUGGAAUGUCUUCGGUUGGGGCGACCGCGGGGAAAGACAAAACCCCCACAUGGACCAGGGCCACUAUAGCCCUAAAACCUAGACCCACAGGUCAAGUCAACAGUAAAUCUGACUACCAAAGAGCCGGCAAUGCCGAUCAACGGACCGAGUUACCCUAGGGAUAACAGCGCAAUCCCCUCCCAGAGCCCUUAUCGACGAGGGGGUUUACGACCUCGAUGUUGGAUCAGGACAUCCUAAUGGUGCAGCCGCUAUUAAGGGUUCGUUUGUUCAACGAUUAAAGUCCUACGUGA